AGAGUUUGAUCAUGGCUCAGAACGAACGCUGGCGGCGUGCUUAACACAUGCAAGUCGCGUGCGCAGUUUCCGUAGCAAUACGGGGAUGGGCGCACGGCGCACGGGUGCGUAACACGUGGGCAAUCUGCCCUCCGAUGGGGAAUACCCCCGCGAAAGCGGGACUAAUUCCGCAUAACAUUCCUUGGAUUAACUUUCGAGGAUUCAAAGCAGCAAUGCGUCGGAGGAGGAGCCCGCGCCCGAUUAGCUAGUUGGUGAGGUAACGGCUCACCAAGGCGAUGAUCGGUAGCUGGUCUGAGAGGAUGGCCAGCCACACUGGAACUGAGACACGGUCCAGACUCCUACGGGAGGCAGCAGUGGGGAAUCUUGCACAAUGGGCGAAAGCCUGAUGCAGCGACGCCGCGUGGGGGAUGAAGCUUUUCGGAGUGUAAACCCCUUUCGACUGGGACGAAUGCCUCGCAAGAGGAGUGACGGUACCAGUAUAAGAAGCCCCGGCUAACUACGUGCCAGCAGCCGCGGUAAGACGUAGGGGGCCAGCGUUGUUCGGAAUUACUGGGUGUAAAGGGUUCGUAGGCGGUGUGGCAAGUCGGGAGUGAAAUCUCUGGGCUCAACCCAGAGACUGCUUCCGAAACUGCUGUGCUUGAGUGUGAGAGAGGCUCGUGGAAUUGCAGGUGUAGCGGUGAAAUGCGUAGAUAUCUGCAGGAACACCCGUGGCGAAAGCGGCGAGCUGGAUCACUACUGACGCUGAGGAACGAAAGCUAGGGGAGCAAACAGGAUUAGAUACCCUAGUAGUCC
rnacentral:rRNA from 1 species